rnacentral:rRNA from 1 species
CGAAAGCAUGGGGAGCGAACAGGAUUAGAUACCCUGGUAGUCCAUGCCGUAAACGUUGGGCACUAGGUGUGGGGGACAUUCCACGUUUUCCGCGCCGUAGCUAACGCAUUAAGUGCCCCGCCUGGGGAGUACGGCCGCAAGGCUAAAACUCAAAGGAAUUGACGGGGGCCCGCACAAGCGGCGGAGCAUGCGGAUUAAUUCGAUGCAACGCGAAGAACCUUACCAAGGCUUGACAUGGACUGGAAAUACCUGGAAACAGGUGCCCCGCUUGCGGCCGGUUCACAGGUGGUGCAUGGUUGUCGUCAGCUCGUGUCGUGAGAUGUUGGGUUAAGUCCCGCAACGAGCGCAACCCUCGUUCUAUGUUGCCAGCGCGUGAUGGCGGGGACUCAUAGGAGACUGCCGGGGUCAACUCGGAGGAAGGUGGGGACGACGUCAAAUCAUCAUGCCCCUUAUGUCUUGGGCUUCACGCAUGCUACAAUGGCUGGUACAAAGGGUUGCGAUACUGUGAGGUGGAGCUAAUCCCAAAAAGCCGGUCUCAGUUCGGAUUGGGGUCUGCAACUCGACCCCAUGAAGUCGGAGUCGCUAGUAAUCGCAGAUCAGCAACGCUGCGGUGAAUACGUUCCCGGGCCUUGUACACACCGCCCGUCAAGUCACGAAAGUUGGUAACACCCGAAGCCGGUGGCCUAACCCCUUAUGGGGAGGGAGCUGUCGAAGGUGGGACUGGCGAUUGGGACUAAGUCGUAACAAGGUAGCCGUA